GCGCACGAUGGACCAACGCCCGGCCUCCUCCAAACCCUAGAUGUCGCCUCCAGUGAUGGCUUUACCCAUCGGGAUCCGUAGCAACUCCUUCCAUUACGAGCCGCAGACUAUCUCCAAGAUCCCCAACCCCAGCCCUGUCGCAGGUGCCGUCUCCUAACGCCACGCUGCCGCCUCUCCCUGUUUUCCGAGUCCUAACCCUAGUAGGAUGAGAGGAAGAAAACCGAGGUAUGCGUCUUCAUAUCUAUUAGAAUGUGCGUGCAGGGAGAUUGGUUAGAACAUGAAACAGUUGUUGAAGGAAACAAGUUCUUAGUAAGACCAAUCGUCUACCACAGGAGAAGUGCAAAGAAAGAAAAGAAGAGUCAGUUGAUGAUAAAAAUAUAGAUUUCAUUUGCAAGGCAUCAUUUAUAUCAUCAAUCCUAUCUUUCACUUGGAGGGACAAUGAACUCAUCCCAGCUUCUCACUCACAAGCCCUUCAACUGAUCCAAUCAUAGCAAGCAAGCUCACGAGCAAGCAUCCAGCACUGAAGACCCUUAGAACCAUCCAUUUCUUUGUCCAACGUCCUAUCUUCUUCUGCGCAAAGUACAUCUCCACGGGGAAGUAGAUGGCCAGGGGCCAGAAGUUGAGGGAUCCUAACACUCCCAGGACCUGGUUGAAGUAGGGAAAGACCAUGGCAAGCCCUGUGGUAGUUGCGACAUAAGCUGUUCUAAAGCACAGCCUGAAUAGAUUCAAUCUGUAUGGUGGUAAGAAUGGCAACUGGAUCCUGUAGAACUCGUUGACAAAUCUGCUGUUAGGAAACUUCCCUGCAACCCAUCUGUCUGCAAAGGAGAAAACUGGCUGGCUGUAGACCUAACAUUUCAAAUCCAGAAACUUCACUGUCAGAUGUUAUCAUUAUUGCAAGCAUAGAGAGGCAAGUAGAAGGAUUCACCUGAUAGCCUCCCACUAGAUGGAGGACAAUACAAGCGUUGGCGAAAUCGAUAAGCCAGUAUGGUUCGUAGAAGCCGAACCCUGUCAAGAGGUUUCCUGGCGUGCCAUCUCCGAAGGCAGCGUAGCCGAAGCACCCGCAGCAGAGGUAGAAGAAGGUGGUGAUGAAGAUGGAGAUCAUUGAAGCUUUCUUCAUCGUCUGGUUCUCUGGUGGUGGCGACCUCAGUGUGUCCUUUGAACAUGAUGAAUUGGCUUCAGUUCUCUCAAGUUCAAAAGUGUUUGAUACAAUGGCACAAUGACUCAGCAAACAAGAACCUUAUGAUCAAGUUAGAGUUGUGUUGUCACCUCUAUUUCUAAGAGAAUCAAGGAGUAUGGGUAGGCAAAUGCUAUGUCUCCCAGUGCUUCAGAAACUCGCCAGACUUUCUGUGCCCUGGAUGUCAUGCGGAUGCCUCCGACUCCCCCCUUUAUUGUUCCAUUUCCUGUAGACCACAUCAUACAGAAAUCACAGUUAUCAGUAGACAAGGAUUAGCAUGCAUGAGGAUGAAUCACUAUGCACUGAAUCUUUUGCUUGUGAGAUGUGAUAAAAACUAUGUUUUGUUUUUUCUGCUAAUUAGGACUGGUGAAAUGCAUAGUGGCCUGUAAUUACUCAGAUAAAUGACAUGAACAAUGGAGCUCUUUUUUCUCAAUGCAUGACAUCAGAGUUCAUUCAUGUUAUGAAUAGAAAUGAAUCUUGGUUCCUUUCCCUAGUGUUUGAUAACAAAUUAGAUAGUCUUUGUUUGGUUUUAGUGACUUUUUUUCCGCCUGAAAAAUAUUAGUAUAAUGAUGGUGUAUCUGAUUGACUUACCUGAAGUUUGGGUUUGUAACCUCAUCCUAAAAUUUUUACAUUAUAUUAAUUUGUUAGUGAUAUAUCUUCUAGAUUACAUUUUGAAACAUCAUCCUAGAAAUAUCGUCAUUGAGUCAAAAUCCGUCUUGUCCAUCUGUUUUUUGCACACAAAAAAAGUAAAUAAAUAUCUGAUUUUAGUUUGGCUAUGUCUAAUCACAAUGCAAAUGUUUGAUUCUAUGAUCUAGAAUUUGUUCUCAGAGCAAAACAGAUCACUCAUGAAAUGAUCAGCUAGUGAGAUGGAAGCACACGAUACCAAUCACUUUUGCAACGCCAAGAGCAAAUCCAAUGGAGGAGUAGGCAAAGGACAUGAUAGCUGCAAGAACAGAGAGCCAUGCCAUGUCAUGGAAAUCUGGAAUCUGGGAGAACACUAUCUGAACAACCCCAAACAUCAGCAUGUAGAAGCUAUCUCCAUACGAGCACGGAGCUCUGCGUCCCUCUCUAUGGGUGGGGCGACCUGUAGCAGUCCGAGAGGAGGAAGGCGGAGACGAAGGUGACGAUGGCGAAGCAGAGCAUGGACACAGGGCCGGCGAUCCAACCCAGCUGGGCAGUGCUCCAUGCGAGGGAGAGCACGCCGGAGCCGAUGACGGCCGUUAUGAUGUGCGCGACGCAGGUCCAUAUCGUCCCUGAUCCAGUCGUCUCGCCAUGGUUGGAUCGAGGUCAGAAAACAAGGAUUUCGAUUACGGAAGCAGGUAAAAAGGAAA